rnacentral:lncRNA from 1 species
AAAUUUUGCUGUUUUUGGUUAUUAUCUUUAAUAUUAUUAUAGAUAGAGAUAAACUGUAAACAGCAAUAAUGUUCAGCAAAGUAAGAUCUACAAAUAAGUCAACAUGACCAAAAUGGUCAGUUGACCACUUUAGGAGUUAUUGCCCUUUAUAGUCAAUUUUUAACCAUUUUUCGUAAAUCUUAGUAAUCUUUUAGAAAAAUCUUCUCCUCUGAAACUACUGGCCAAAAUUUGACCAAACUUGGCCAUAAUCAUCAUUGGGGUAUUUAGUUUAAAAAAAUGUGUCCGGUGACCCGGCCAACUAACCAAGAUGGCCGCCAUGG